rfam:Triticum aestivum genome assembly, contig: Triticum_aestivum_CS42_TGACv1_scaffold_223284_3B
AUUGUACUCCCUCCGUCCGAAAAUACUUAUCAUCAAAAUGGAGAAAAAGGGAUGUAUCUAGAACAAAACUACAUCUAGAUACAUCCCCUUUUAUUUAUUUUGAUGACAAGUAUUUCCGGACGGAGGGAGUAUAUU